AGCGUGAAGCCGCCCUCAAGAUAAGAUUUCCCAUCCUUUAUGGAGUAAGAUCCCUUGAAGAUAACGAGGUUGAUAGGUUGGAGGUGUAAGCACAGUAAUGUGUUCAGCUGACCAAUACUAAUAGAUCGAGGGCUUGACCAA
rnacentral:rRNA from 1 species